GAUGAACGCUGGCGGCGUGGAUAAGGCAUGCAAGUCGAGUGGGUUUAGGCCCACGGCAAACGGGUUAGUAAUGCAUAGGAACUUUCCUUGAAGUCGUGAAUAAUUCGGAGAAAUCCGGAAUAAUACACGAUGUGCUCUACGGAGUAAAGAUUUAUCGCUUCAAGAGAGGCCUAUGUCCUAUCAGCUAGUUGGUAGUGUAAUGGACUACCAAGGCUUUUGACGGGUAGGGGGUGUGAGAGCACGGCCCCCAACAUUGGAACUGAGAACUGUCCAAACUCCUACGGGAGGCUGCAGUCGAGAAUAUUCCACAAUGGACGAAAGUCUGAUGGAGCGACGCCGCGUGCAGGAUGAAGGCCCUUGGGUUGUAAACUGCUUUUGUAAGGGAAAAAUUUCGAUGAUGGUACCUUACGAAUAAGAGGUUACUAACUCUGUGCCAGCAGUAGCGGUAAUACAGAGACCUCAAGCGUUAUCCGGAUUUAUUGGGCGUAAAGAGCUGGUAGGUGGUUAUAUUAGUCAGAUGUCAAAUCUCGGAGCUUAACUCUGAAACUGCAUUUGAAACGGUAUAACUAGAGGGUGUGAGAGAUCUAUGGAACUCAUGGUGUAGCAGUGAAAUGCGUUGAUAUCAUGAGGAACACCAAAGGCGAAGGCAUUAGAUUGGCACACUCCUGACACUGAGCAGCGAAAGCGUGGGUAGCGAAUGGGAUUAGAUACCCCAGUAGUCCACGCCCUAAACGAUGCAUAUUAGGCAUUGAGAGUAUCGACCCUUUCAGUGUCGUAGCUAACGCGUUAAAUAUGCCGCCUGGGAAGUACGGCCGCAAGGCUAAAACUCAAAGGAAUAGACGGGGAUCCGCACAAGUAGAGGAUCAUGUGGUUUAAUUCGAUGGUAAGCGAGAAACCUCACCAAGGUUUGAAACUAGGCUGCAAGACUUAGAAAUAAGUCCGCCUUCGAGGGUGCCUAGCAGGUGCUGCAUGGUCGUCGUCAGCUCGUGUCGUAAGAUGUUCCGUUAAGUCGGGAAACGAGCGCAACCCCUGUCGUGUGUUUUAUAUGUCACACGAUACUGCCCAGACUUUUGUGUGCGAACGCAAAAGUAAUGACCAAUAACGAAUUUCCAAUUUCCAAAUAAUUUCCAAUGAUCAAUUUUCAAAAUCUCAAACUAUUUAAUUUUUUGAUUAUUGUAUCUUGUAAUUUGUUUGUUUCUUGGUUAUUGUUUCUUGGAAUUUAUUUUGUUUGUUUCACAAACAAAAGUCUGGGAGGAAGGAGGGGAUGACGUCAGAUCAGCAUGGCCCUUUGACACCUUGGGCAACACACGUGGUACAAUGGCCGGUACAGAGGGUUGCGAAGUCGCGAGACGGAGCCAAUCCCAAAAAACCGGUCCCAGUUCGGAUAGGAGUCUGCAACUCGACUCCUUGAAGCCGGAUUUACUAGUAAUCGGGGAUCAGAACGCCCCGGUGAAUACGUUCUCGGAUCUUGUACUCACCGCCCGUCACACCAAGAGAGUCGGUAACACCCGAAGGCCCUGUUUUAUACCGGGGACAACGGUGGGAUCGAUGAUAAGGGUG
rnacentral:rRNA from 1 species